GUGGAUUAGAUACCCGGGUAGUCCACGCCGUAAACGAUGAGAACUAGGUGUUGCGGGUAUUGACCCCUGCAGUGCCGCAGCUAACGCAUUAAGUUCUCCGCCUGGGAAGUACGGUCGCAAGACUAAAACUCAAAGGAAUUGACGGGGGCCCGCACAAGCGGUGGAGCAUGUGGUUUAAUUCGACGCAACGCGAAGAACCUUACCUGGUCUUGACAUCUACGGAACCUGCCUGAAAGGGCGGGGUGCCUUCGGGAGCCGUAAGACAGGUGCUGCACGGCUGUCGACAACU
rnacentral:rRNA from 1 species